GACUCAACUGACUGCCGGGCUAAGCGCCCUCUGUUUUCACUGUCAUCGCUGUCAAACUUCAGCUCUCCAAGUCUUAGCAAAAUUAUUGAAGAGUGUUCCUUUCCUUUUAGAAAAGGAAAUAUGAACCUAUAUGACGAAAGUAAGAUCAGUGGAAUAGAGAACCAUACACUGAGAACAGGAAUCUGUGCUUUUGGAGAGGAAAGUGAGAACUCGCCUUGAGUGCCUGUGCAGCGUAUGGGAAUACUCAACAAACUGUAUUUUCAUCAAAUUAAAUUAGUGGAGUAGGAGUUGAUGCGAGUCCAGCAUCUUAAAGGUCAAGAAAG